AAAGGGGUCGAUGUAACAAGUUUCAGAUGUGUUCAGGUUUGUCAUGGCAGAUGGGGGAGGGGGCGUCAAUACAUCGCCAAAUGGAUUUAGAGAUUAUAAAUAUAUAAGAUGGUCAAAACACUGCGUGAGCAAUCCAAAUAAUGACACCUAGAGACAUCAUGCUUAGAACAAAUGUGAUGACAACGCGGUUCUAUGCUCUGGGAGGGAUGAGGAGAGGAACACCCCUGCGAAGUCGUAGAAGUACGACUAGCGACUGAACGGAACGAAUCUCAGGAGCGAACUGCCGUGCAGUGCGCGAGCUGUUAGGAGCGGACGGGAGACAGUCUGCAGGGGAAAGAAAGGAAAUCGAUAGGAGAUUUUAAGAAAGAGCACGCUUCGGGAGUGGAAAUCGAGCCUCUACAAAAUGUGUUUGUGAUCAGAAUUCCUUUAUGGCUUCCAUGGACGUCAGAGGACACUUCUUAUUUCCCACACCUUUAUCUUUUCAUCAGAUAUUCUCCGUUGAACAAUAAUAAUGUAGCAUAAGAGAUUGUUUCUGGUUUUCACAUUAAUGCACAUGAAAUACUGUAUCAUACAUUUUUUAAUAAAGUGUAUAUUAAAAAGAA